rnacentral:lncRNA from 1 species
UUAUCGAAUAUUUACUUUAGUACCCUUUAGUUUUAACUUUAUCACUAAUUUAACAAAAAAAAUUAGUGAAAGGGAAUAACAAAAAGCAAAAAAUAAAACCACAGGAUAUGAACGUGAUACAAUUAAAAUUAUAGAUCACUAUAGUGAGAAAGUGAAAAAUCAUAAGGGUGGUAUUUGAAGUUUUUUCUUAAUUUUUUAGGACUCUUUUAU